AUGCAUGUGGAUGGAGAUGGUGCAGAUGUGACAUUUAGUGUUCGCGGCCAAUUGUUCAAUGCCCACAGAUGUUUGUUGGCUGCACGGUCUCCGGUUUUCAAGGCAGAGCUCUUUGGUCCGAUGAAAGAAAACUCAACUCGGUGCAUCGAGAUUGACGACAUUGAGCCACAAGUAUUCGAGUCGCUUCUUCACUUUAUAUACACAGAUUGCAUGAUGGAUCGUUAUGAAGAAGGCAAAACUGAAAAUCUACAACACCUACUAGUUGCGGCGGAUCUAUAUGGAGUGGACAGGUUGAGGGUUAUGUGUGAAGGUAAAUUGUGUGAUAGCAUCGACUUGAAGACAGUCACGACAACGCUAACUUUAGCAGAGCAACAUAACUGCAGGGUUCUCAAAAAAGCUUGUAUUGAGUUUCUAGCCUCAGGGAAGACACUUGAAGCUGUGAAGAAAACAGAUUCAGAUGUAUUCAAACAUCUGGAGGCAAGCUGUCCUCAUCUCAUGCAGGAGAUUUUA
rnacentral:rRNA from 1 species